UACGUAGGUGGCGAGCGUUGUCCGGAUUUACUGGGCGUAAAGGGAGCGUAGGCGGACUUUUAAGUGAGAUGUGAAAUACUCGGGCUCAACUUGAGUGCUGCAUUUCAAACUGGAAGUCUAGAGUGCAGGAGAGGAGAAUGGAAUUCCUAGUGUAGCGGUGAAAUGCGUAGAGAUUAGGAAGAACACCAGUGGCGAAGGCGAUUAUCUGGACUGUAACUGACGCUGAGGCUCGAAAGCGUGGGGAGCAAACAGG
rnacentral:rRNA from 1 species